AGCGAACGCUGGCGGCAGGCUUAACACAUGCAAGUCGAGCGGGCGUAGCAAUACGUCAGCGGCAGACGGGUGAGCAACGCGUGGGAACAUACCUUUUGGUUCGGAACAACACAGGGAAACUUGUGCUAAUACCGGAUAAGCCCUUACGGGGAAAGAUUUAUCGCCGAAAGAUUGGCCCGCGUCUGAUCAGCUAGUUGGUGAGGUAAUGGCUCACCAAGGCGACGAUCAGUAGCUGGUCUGAGAGGAUGAUCAGCCACAUUGGGACUGAGACACGGCCCAAACUCCUACGGGAGGCAGCAGUGGGGAAUAUUGGACAAUGGGCGCAAGCCUGAUCCAGCCAUGCCGCGUGAGUGAUGAAGGCCCUAGGGUUGUAAAGCUCUUCAACGGUGAAGAUAAUGACGGUAACCGUAGAAGAAGCCCCGGCUAACUUCGUGCCAGCCGCCGCAGUAAC
rnacentral:rRNA from 1 species